rnacentral:lncRNA from 1 species
CUUGAGUGCAGUGGCGUGAUCUUGGCUUACUGCAACCUCCGCCUCCCAGUUUCAAGCGAUUCUCCUGCCUCAGCCUCUUGAGUAGCUGGGACUACAGGCACCAGCCAUCACGCCCAGCUAAUUUUUUGUAUUUUUAGUAGAGACACGGUUUCGCCAUGUUGGCCAGGUUCGUCUUGAGUUCCUGACCUCAGGUGAUCUGCCCGCCUCGGCCUCCCAAAGUGCUGGGAUUACAGGCAUGAGCCAUCGCACCGGCCUGCUCUUCUUUUAAAAAAGUUUUUCUAUCUUUUUUUUGUUUUUUUUGGUGGUUGCUUCGAACUUUAUUUGAGAAAAACAGAAGAUAAACGUAUCAAAAGAACACACAGGAUUAAAUGUUCUAGCAAGGAAACAUGAAGCUGGUCCAACGUGCUGCUGGGAUGGCUCCUUGAAGCUUGAACAUGAUGACCUUCAGCAAAGGAGGUGGAGAUGUACAGAGGAGGAGACCGUUAGUUCCCUGAGUGAAGAGAUGCUAUCUUGGUAUCUCCAGCUUCCAACCGGGGGCUUGGCACAGAAUAGGGGCUUGGUAAAUGUUUUCCAAAUGAAUGGGAUGUCUGAUGGAAAGAAGACAAGGUGAAGGAAUUCCUGGGUAAUAUGGAGAUGAGAAUCUGUGAGAAGGAUACAUGUACUGAUGCCUGUCGCGGUGGACACACAGACGCACACAUUGCGGAACACCACCAUAAGAAUAUUGAGAAUAUCGAGAACACUUCAAUAUUCCAAACUUCAAUGGAAAUAUACGAACUGGAGUACACUCUUCUUCUGCCCUUGGACAUCAGGCUCUCUGGCCUUUGGACUCCAGGACUUAUACCAGCGCCCCUCUGGGUUCUCAGGCCUCUGUACUUGAACUGAGCCACACUGCCAGCAUGCCAGCUUCUCCAGCUUGCCAGGCCUGCUGUGGGACUUCUCAGCCUCCAUAAUCAUGUGUGCCAAUUCCCCUAAUAAAUCUCCUCUCAUCUGUCCACGUAUCUAUAUUUGCAUUCUGUUGGUUCUGUCUCUCUAGAAAAGUAUUACUAAUACACAGGUAGAGGAAGUCCCCAAGAAGAAUACUGAACUGACACCAAU